ensembl:lncRNA
GAAAGGCUUGUUAUGGGAUGAUCUCAUUGUAAGAUUUAAAUUCAAUAUAUUUAGACUGGUUGACUGAAUUGGAUCUUGUGUAUGUGUGUGUGUGUGUGUGUAUGUGUGUGUGUGUGUGUGUGUGUGUGUGUGUGACAGAGAGAGAGAGAGAGAGAGAGAGAGAGACAGAGAAAGCCUUUUUAUGGGAUGAUCUCAUUGUAAGAUUUAAAUUCAAUAUAUUUAGACUGGUUGACUGAAUUGGAUCUUGUGUGUGUGUGUGUGUGUGUGUGUGUGUGACAGAGAGAGAGAGAGAGAGAGAGAAAGCCUUAGAGAGAGAGAGAGAAAGGCUUGUUAUUGGAUGAUCUCAUUGUAAGAUUUAAAUUCAAUAUAUUUAGACUGGUUGACUGAAUUGGAUCUUGUGUGUGUGUGCGUGUGUGUGUGUGUGUGUGUUUGUGUGACAGAGAGAGAGAGAGAGAGACAGAGAAAGCCUUUUUAUGGGAUGAUCUCAUUGUAAGAUUUAAAUUCAAUAUAGUUAGACUGGUUUACUGAAUUUGAUCCUGUGUGUGUCUGUCUGUGCAUGUGUGUUACCAUAUGUGUACAUAUUUGUGGUUGUGUGACUGUUAUACUUUUUUUUGCUGUUUUUUUUUUUCAUUUAACAAUUACAUUUGAGGGACCCUUAGCAUGUUCAGGAUUUUUUCAGCUGUCCAUUUUGCUUUUCCAAUUUUUCUAUUUAGGUUAUUACUAUUGUGCUAAGUCAUAGCAUUUCUGCUGCUUUCCAGUAUUUGUGCUAAAUACAGCAUUUCUGCUAAAUCAUACUAUUUCUUCUAUUUCAUCAGAUUUGUGCUAAAUAUAGUGUUUCUGCUACAAAAUAGUAUUUCUGCCAAAUAUAGUAUUUUUGAUUAAUUAUAGUUUUUCUACCAAAUCAUAGUACAGUUUUACUGCUUUUUAU